GACGAACGCUGGCGGCGUGCUUAACACAUGCAAGUCGAACGGAAAGGCCCUGCUUUUGUGGGGUGCUCGAGUGGCGAACGGGUGAGUAACACGUGAGUAACCUGCCCUUGACUUUGGGAUAACUUCAGGAAACUGGGGCUAAUACCGGAUAGGAGCUCCUGCUGCAUGGUGGGGGUUGGAAAGUUUCGGCGGUUGGGGAUGGACUCGCGGCUUAUCAGCUUGUUGGUGGGGUAGUGGCUUACCAAGGCUUUGACGGGUAGCCGGCCUGAGAGGGUGACCGGCCACAUUGGGACUGAGAUACGGCCCAGACUCCUACGGGAGGCAGCAGUGGGGAAUAUUGCACAAUGGGCGGAAGCCUGAUGCAACAACGCCGCGUGCGGGAUGACGGCCUUCGGGUUGUAAACCGCUUUCGCCUGUGACGAAGCGUGAGUGACGGUAAUGGGUAAAGAAGCACCGGCUAACUACGUGCCAGCAGCCGCGGUGAUACGUAGGGUGCGAGCGUUGUCCGGAUUUAUUGGGCGUAAAGGGCUCGUAGGUGGUUGAUCGCGUCGGAAGUGUAAUCUUGGGGCUUAACCCUGAGCGUGCCUUCGAUACGGGUUGACUUGAGGAAGGUAGGGGAGAAUGGAAUGCCUGGUGGAGCGGUGGAAUGCGCAGAUAUCAGGAGGAACACCAGUGGCGAAGGCGGUUCUCUGGGCCUUUCCUGACGCUGAGGAGCGAAAGCGUGGGGAGCGAACAGGCUUAGAUACCCUGGUAGUCCACGCUGUAAACGGUGGGUACUAGGUGUGGGGUCCAUUCCACGGGUUCCGUGCCGUAGCUAACGCUUUAAGUACCCCGCCUGGGGAGUACGGCCGCAAGGCUAAAACUCAAAGGAAUUGACGGGGCCCCGCACAAGCGGCGGAGCAUGCGGAUUAAUUCGAUGCAACGCGUAGAACCUUACCUGGGUUUGACAUGGAUCGGGAGUGCUCAGAGAUGGGUGUGCCUCUUUUGGGGUCGGUUCACAGGUGGUGCAUGGCUGUCGUCAGCUCGUGUCGUGAGAUGUUGGGUUAAGUCCCGCAACGAGCGCAACCCUUGUUCACUGUUGCCAGCACGUUAUGGUGGGGACUCAGUGGAGACCGCCGGGGUCAACUCGGAGGAAGGUGGGGAUGACGUCAAGUCAUCAUGCCCCUUAUGUCCAGGGCUUCACGCAUGCUACAAUGGCUGGUACAGAGAGUGGCGAGCCUGUGAGGGUGAGCGAAUCUCGGAAAGCCGGUCUCAGUUCGGAUUGGGGUCUGCAACUCGACCUCAUGAAGUCGGAGUCGCUAGUAAUCGCAGAUCAGCAACGCUGCGGUGAAUACGUUCCCGGG
rnacentral:rRNA from 1 species